rnacentral:rRNA from 1 species
GGGAUAGCCUCGGGAAACCGGGAUUAAUACCAAAUAAAAUCAUAAUGACACAUGUCAUAACGAUCAAAACUCCGGUGGUCUAAGAUGGACUCGCGUCCCAUUAGCUAGUUGGUAGAGUAAAAGCCUACCAAGGCGACGAUGGGUAGCCGGCCUGAGAGGGUGAACGGCCACAUUGGAACUGAGAAACGGUCCAA